GUACUGCUGAAGAGUUCCAAACUAGGACUAAACAGCUGUCCAGUAA
rfam:Trichobilharzia regenti genome assembly, scaffold: TRE_scaffold0017579